rnacentral:rRNA from 1 species
GCAGUCGAGGGGUAGAGUUAGCUUGCUAACUUGAGACCGGCGCACGGGUGCGUAACGCGUAUGCAACCUACCUUUAUCUGGGGGAUAGCCCGGAGAAAUCCGGAUUAAUACCGCAUAAAAUCACAGAAUGGCAUUAUUCAAUGAUCAAACAUUAAUGGGAUAGAGAUGGGCAUGCGUGUCAUUAGCUAGUUGGCGGGGUAACGGCCCACCAAGGCGACGAUGACUAGGGGAUCUGAGAGGAUGACCCCCCACACUGGUACUGAGACACGGACCAGACUCCUACGGGAGGCAGCAGUAAGGAAUAUUGGUCAAUGGAGGCAACUCUGAACCAGCCAUGGCCGCGUGCAGGAAGACUGCCCUAUGGGUUGUAAACUGCUUUUAUCCGGGAAUAAACCACGAUACGUGUAUCGUGCUGAAUGUACCGGAAGAAUAAGGAUCGGCUAACUCCGUGCCAGCAGCCGCGGUAAUACGGAGGAUCCAAGCGUUAUCCGGAUUUAUUGGGUUUAAAGGGUGCGUAGGCGGCCUGUUAAGUCAGGGGUGAAAGACGGUAGCUCAACUAUCGCAGUGCCCUUGAUACUGAUGGGCUUGAAUGAACUAGAGGUAGGCGGAAUGAGACAAGUAGCGGUGAAAUGCAUAGAUAUGUCUCAGAACACCGAUUGCGAAGGCAGCUUACUAUGGUUUAAUUGACGCUGAGGCACGAAAGCGUGGGGAUCAAACAGGAUUAGAUACCCUGGUAGUCCACGCCCUAAACGAUGAACACUCGCUGUUGGCGAUACACAGUCAGCGGCUAAGCGAAAGCGUUAAGUGUUCCACCUGGGGAGUACGGUCGCAAGAUUGAAACUCAAAGGAAUUGACGGGGGCCCGCACAAGCGGAGGAGCAUGUGGUUUAAUUCGAUGAUACGCGAGGAACCUUACCCGGGCUUGAAAGUUAGUGAAUCAUUUAGAGAUAAAUGAGUGAGCAAUCACACGAAACUAGGUGCUGCAUGGCUGUCGUCAGCUCGUGCCGUGAGGUGUUGGGUUAAGUCCCGCAACGAGCGCAACCCCUAUGUUUAGUUGCCAGCACGUUAAGGUGGGGACUCUAAACAGACUGCCUGUGCAAACAGAGAGGAAGGAGGGGACGACGUCAAGUCAUCAUGGCCCUUACGUCCGGGGCUACACACGUGCUACAAUGGAUGGUACAGAGGGCAGCUACAUAGCAAUAUGAUGCGAAUCUCACAAAGCCAUUCACAGUUCGGAUUGGGGUCUGCAACUCGACCCCAUGAAGUUGGAUUCGCUAGUAAUCGCGUAUCAGCAAUGACGCGGUGAAUACGUUCCCGGGCCUUGUACACACCGCCCGUCAAGCCAUGGAAGUUGGGGGUACCUAAAGUAUGUAACCGCAAGGAGCGU